rnacentral:rRNA from 1 species
GAUGAACGCUGGCGGCGUGCCUAAUACAUGCAAGUCGAGCGAACAGACGAGAGUGCUUGCACUCUCUGACGUUAGCGGCGGACGGGUGAGUAACACGUGGGUAACCUACCUAUAAGACUGGGAUAACUUCGGGAAACCGGAGCUAAUACCGGAUAAUAUUUAGCUUCGCAUGACGCAAUAGUGAAAGACGGUUCUGCUGUCACUUAUAGAUGGACCCGCGGUGUAUUAGCUAGUUGGUGAGGUAACGGCUCACCAAGGCAACGAUACAUAGCCGACCUGAGAGGGUGAUCGGCCACACUGGGACUGAGACACGGCCCAGACUCCUACGGGAGGCAGCAGUAGGGAAUCUUCCGCAAUGGACGAAAGUCUGACGGAGCAAUGCCGCGUGAGUGAAGAAGGUUUUCGGAUCGUAAAACUCUGUUGUAAGGGAAGAACAAGUACGUUAGUAACUGAACGUACCUUGACGGUACCUUACCAGAAAGCCACGGCUAACUACGU